GAACGGGAAAGUGGAGCAAUCCAUGAGUAUAGUGGCGACCGGGUGAGUAACACGUGACUAACCUGCCCUUGAGUGGGGGAUAACCUCGGGCAACCGGGGCUAAUACCGCAUAACAUCUUCAGGAUGAGAAGCUGGGGAUCAAAGGAGCAAUCCGCUUAUGGAGGGGGUCGCGGCUGAUUAGCUAGUUGGCGGGGUAACGGCCCACCAAGGCGAUGAUCGGUAUCCGGCCUGAGAGGGCGCACGGACACACUGGAACUGAAACACGGUCCAGACUCCUACGGGAGGCAGCAGUGGGGAAUUUUGCGCAAUGGGGGAAACCCUGACGCAGCAACGCCGCGUGGAGGAUGAAGUCCCUUGGGACGUAAACUCCUUUCGACCGGGACGAUUAUGAACAUACGAACAGGAAGAAGCCCCGGCUAACUUCGUG
rnacentral:rRNA from 1 species